rnacentral:pre_miRNA from 1 species
CACCCCCUCCUGUAAUCCUUGCUAUUUGGGUGCUAGUGCUGUCUCAGUGCAGCACACCUGGGCAAGGAUUGAGAGAAGGUGGGCU